GGAUGCGAUCAUACCAGCACUAAAGCACCGGAUCCCAUCAGAACUCCGAAGUUAAGCGUGCUUGGGCGAGAGUAGUACUAGGAUGGGUGACGACUACUAGGAUGGGUGACCUCCUGGGAAGUCCUCGUGUUGCAUUCC
rnacentral:rRNA from 1 species